rnacentral:rRNA from 1 species
AGAGUUUGAUCCUGGCUCAGAUUGAACGCUGGCGGCAGGCCUAACACAUGCAAGUCGAGCGGUAGCACAGAGAGCUUGCUCUCGGGUGACGAGCGGCGGACGGGUGAGUAAUGUCUGGGAAACUGCCUGAUGGAGGGGGAUAACUACUGGAAACGGUAGCUAAUACCGCAUAAUGUCGCAAGACCAAAGUGGGGGACCUUCGGGCCUCAUGCCAUCAGAUGUGCCCAGAUGGGAUUAGCUAGUAGGUGGGGUAACGGCUCACCUAGGCGACGAUCCCUAGCUGGUCUGAGAGGAUGACCAGCCACACUGGAACUGAGACACGGUCCAGACUCCUACGGGAGGCAGCAGUGGGGAAUAUUGCACAAUGGGCGCAAGCCUGAUGCAGCCAUGCCGCGUGUGUGAAGAAGGCCUUCGGGUUGUAAAGCACUUUCAGCGGGGAGGAAGGCGUUAAGGUUAAUAACCUUGUCGAUUGACGUUACCCGCAGAAGAAGCACCGGCUAACUCCGUGCCAGCAGCCGCGGUAAUACGGAGGGUGCAAGCGUUAAUCGGAAUUACUGGGCGUAAAGCGCACGCAGGCGGUCUGUCAAGUCGGAUGUGAAAUCCCCGGGCUCAACCUGGGAACUGCAUUCGAAACUGGCAGGCUAGAGUCUUGUAGAGGGGGGGUAGAAUUCCAGGUGUAGCGGUGAAAUGCGUAGAGAUCUGGAGGAAUACCGGUGGCGAAGGCGGCCCCCUGGACAAAGACUGACGCUCAGGUGCGAAAGCGUGGGGAGCAAACAGGAUUAGAUACCCUGGUAGUCCACGCCGUAAACGAUGUCGAUUUGGAGGUUGUGCCCUUGAGGCGUGGCUUCCGGAGCUAACGCGUUAAAUCGACCGCCUGGGGAGUACGGCCGCAAGGUUAAAACUCAAAUGAAUUGACGGGGGCCCGCACAAGCGGUGGAGCAUGUGGUUUAAUUCGAUGCAACGCGAAGAACCUUACCUGGUCUUGACAUCCACAGAACUUUCCAGAGAUGGAUUGGUGCCUUCGGGAACUGUGAGACAGGUGCUGCAUGGCUGUCGUCAGCUCGUGUUGUGAAAUGUUGGGUUAAGUCCCGCAACGAGCGCAACCCUUAUCCUUUGUUGCCAGCGGUUAGGCCGGGAACUCAAAGGAGACUGCCAGUGAUAAACUGGAGGAAGGUGGGGAUGACGUCAAGUCAUCAUGGCCCUUACGACCAGGGCUACACACGUGCUACAAUGGCAUAUACAAAGAGAAGCGACCUCGCGAGAGCAAGCGGACCUCAUAAAGUAUGUCGUAGUCCGGAUUGGAGUCUGCAACUCGACUCCAUGAAGUCGGAAUCGCUAGUAAUCGUAGAUCAGAAUGCUACGGUGAAUACGUUCCCGGGCCUUGUACACACCGCCCGUCACACCAUGGGAGUGGGUUGCAAAAGAAGUAGGUAGCUUAACCUUCGGGAGGGCGCUUACCACUUUGUGAUUCAUGACUGGGGUGAAGUCGUAACAAGGUAACCGUA